GCAGUCGAGCGGACAGAUGGGAGCUUGCUCCCUGAUGUUAGCGGCGGACGGGUGAGUAACACGUGGGUAACCUGCCUGUAAGACUGGGAUAACUCCGGGAAACCGGGGCUAAUACCGGAUGGUUGUUUGAACCGCAUGGUUCAGACAUAAAAGGUGGCUUCGGCUACCACUUACAGAUGGACCCGCGGCGCAUUAGCUAGUUGGUGAGGUAACGGCUCACCAAGGCGACGAUGCGUAGCCGACCUGAGAGGGUGAUCGGCCACACUGGGACUGAGACACGGCCCAGACUCCUACGGGAGGCAGCAGUAGGGAAUCUUCCGCAAUGGACGAAAGUCUGACGGAGCAACGCCGCGUGAGUGAUGAAGGUUUUCGGAUCGUAAAGCUCUGUUGUUAGGGAAGAACAAGUGCCGUUCAAAUAGGGCGGCACCUUGACGGUACCUAACCAGAAAGCCACGGCUAACUACGUGCCAGCAGCCGCGGUAAUACGUAGGUGGCAAGCGUUGUCCGGAAUUAUUGGGCGUAAAGGGCUCGCAGGCGGUUUCUUAAGUCUGAUGUGAAAGCCCCCGGCUCAACCGGGGAGGGUCAUUGGAAACUGGGGAACUUGAGUGCAGAAGAGGAGAGUGGAAUUCCACGUGUAGCGGUGAAAUGCGUAGAGAUGUGGAGGAACACCAGUGGCGAAGGCGACUCUCUGGUCUGUA
rnacentral:rRNA from 1 species